CACACCGUGGCGCAGCGGCGGUUAGCGCUGUCGACCAACAAUUUUUCAACGCUGGUUCAACCCCGCCCGGUGCCA